CUAAGGCUCCGGAGGAAGCCACGGCUAACUCUGUGCCAGCAGCCGCGGUAAUACAGAGGCGGCAAGCGUUGUUCGGAAUUAUUGGGCGUAAAGAGCACGUAGGCGGCCUUGCAAGUCAGUUGUGAAAGCCUUCCGCUUAACGGAAGAAUGCCAGCUGAUACUACAGGGCUUGAGUACGGGAGGGGAGAGUGGAACUUCUGGUGGAGCGGUGAAAUGCGUAGAUAUCAGAAGGAACGCCGGCGGCGAAAGCGACUCUCUGGCCCGAAACUGACGCUGAGUGUGCGAAAGCUAGGGGAGCAAACGGGAUUAGAUACCCCGGUAGUCCUAGCCGUAAA
rnacentral:rRNA from 1 species